CAGAAACUACAAAGGAAUUGACGGGGCCCGGCGACAAGACGGUGGAGCAUGUGGUUUAAUUCGAUGAUACGCGAGGAACCUUACCUGGGCUCAAAUGUAUGUUGACGUAUUCUGAAAGGGAUACUUCUUCGGACAAUAUACAAGGUGCUGCAUGGCUGUCGUCAGCUCGUGUCGUGGGAUGUUGGGUUAAGUCCCGCAACGAGCGCAACCCUUGCCUUUAGUUGCCAGCAGUUCGGCUGGGCACUCUAAAGGGACUGCCGGUGUUAAACCGGAGGAAGGUGGGGAUGACGUCAAGUCCUCAUGGCCUUUAUGACCAGGGCUACACACGUACUACAAUGGCCGAUACAAAGGGCAGCGACACUGCGAGGUGAAGCCAAUCCCGUAAAAUCGGUCUCAGUCCGGAUUGGAGUCUGCAACUCGACUCCAUGAAGUUGGAAUCGCUAGUAAUCGUGGAUCAGCAUGCCACGGUGAAUACGUUCCCGGGCCUU
rnacentral:rRNA from 1 species